rnacentral:rRNA from 1 species
AGAACGAACGCUGGCGGCGUGCUUAACACAUGCAAGUCGAACGAGGUCUGUAGCAAUACAGAUACUCGUGGCGAACGGGUGCGUAACACGUGGAUAACCUUCCUUCAGGUGGGGGAAUAACCCAGUGAAAAAUUGGGCUAAUACCGCAUAACAUGACGAUGCCACAUGGUGUUGUCUUCAAAGGCGCAAGUCGCCAGAAGAGGGAUCCGCGGCCGAUUAGCUAGUUGGCGAGGUAAUGGCUCACCAAGGCAAUGAUCGGUAGCCGGACUGAGAGGUUGGCCGGCCACACUGGAACUGAGACACGGUCCAGACUCCUACGGGAGGCAGCAGUAGGGAAUUUUCCACAAUGGGCGAAAGCCUGAUGGAGCAACGCCGCGUGCAGGACGAAGGCCUUCGGGUUGUAACUGCUUUUAUAUGUGACGAUUAUGACGGUAGCAUAUGAAUAAGGAUCGGCUAACUCCGUGCCAGCAGCCGC